rnacentral:rRNA from 1 species
GGAGGGCAAGUCUGGUGCCAGCAGCCGCGGUAAUUCCAGCUCCAAUAGCGUAUAUUAAAGUUGUUGUGGUUAAAAAGCUCGUAGUUGAACCUUGGGCCUGGCUGGCCGGUCCGCCUCACCGCGUGUACUGGUCCGGCCGGGUCUUUCCCUCUGUGGAACCCCAUGCCCUUCACUGGGUGUGGCGGGGAAACAGGACUUUUACUUUGAAAAAAUUAGAGUGCUCCAGGCAGGCCUAUGCUCGAAUACAUUAGCAUGGAAUAAUGAAAUAGGACGUGCGGUUCUAUUUUGUUGGUUUCUAGGACCGCCGUAAUGAUUAAUAGGGACAGUCGGGGGCAUCAGUAUUCAAUUGUCAGAGGUGGAAUUCUUGGAUUUAUUGAAGACUAACUACUGCGAAAGCAUUUGCCAAGGAUGUUUUCAUUAAUCAGGAACGAAAGUUAGGGGAUCGAAGACGAUCAGAUACCGUCGUAGUCUUAACCAUAAACUAUGCCGACUAGGGAUCGGACGAUGUUAUUUUUUGACUCGUUCGGCGCCUUACGGGAAAC